UACGUAGGGUCCGAGCGUUGUCCGGAAUUAUUGGGCGUAAAGAGCUCGUAGGCGGUCCGUCGCGUCUGCUGUGAAAAUCCCGGGCUCAACCCCGGACUUGCAGUGGGUACGGGCAGACUAGAGUGUGGUAGGGGAGACUGGAAUUCCUGGUGUAGCGGUGAAAUGCGCAGAUAUCAGGAGGAACGCCGAUGGCGAAGGCAGGUCUCUGGGCCACUACUGACGCUGAGAAGCGAAAGCAUGGGGAGCGAACAGG
rnacentral:rRNA from 1 species